UUUAGGAAUCGCUCAGUUUUUAGUCAUAAUUCAAUAAAUUUUAUAAUGUUUUAGUUCACAAUUUUUUUGCCUUCGGCUAGCCAAAUGCCCCUGAGGGGAAAAGCGUUCGGGGACAGGUCGGAGAAAGGGCCAAUUAUGUGUUCAGGCAAUUUUAGGUCCACCUUAACUCUCGUCGUAGCACGCAUAAAUUAUAACUUGUUAAUAAUGAGGAUAGGCAUCAGGUGAGAGGAGGGCAAGAUCACCACCCCAAUUAGCCGACGAGCAUUCCAGCCGGGAAUAACCGCGUGCGCCUUUCUCCCACCCCCCAACACCCAGCCUGGUUCGUUACAACAAUACAGCAACAGUGAUUUCUGGAACAAAUGUAUUAAGGGCGGAAAACGACCUAUCAACACGCGAGAGAUGUAGAUCUAAAUGGAUAAAGUUUGUUUUGCGAAAACACUGUGAGGAACCAGUGUUCCCACGGGCCGAAUUCGUCUGAAGCACAGCCGGAUAAGGCUGAGGAACGGCUGGAUAAGGCGAACGUCAGUCCGGGUACCCGCGGAUAUCCGGAUGCGGCGAAGUAGCCAAGGGCUCCCAGGGAGGAGAAGUACCCCGCUCUCAGAGAGGAAGACAUGCGAGAGGUAGAGGAGACGGCGGGAUCGGGCCGGCAGUGGCCCGACGCAUGUCCUGGGAACACGCCACCGACCGGGUUCCGUUGCGAGUGCUGUGGAAACCAGAAGACGUCAAUGGAAAAUUAGCGACGCCAAGCCGGGGUCCCGUUAAGGCGGGGUUAUAAAAGGAGGCUGCGGCGACGGAGCGAGAUCUUUCGCAGAUGAGUUGUCGCGCGUGCAUAUUGUACCGCGCAGAACGCAGAAGUAGUAGUCCGGUACUGUUCGAAGAGUGUAGUGAAGUGCAUACGGAAAGCAGAGAAACAGGUCCCGCCUGCCCAUCAGAGUGCGUCUAAGUUAAGUGGUGAUCCACAUCCACCGACGGAAUCUAGGAGGGGAGGGCGAGACGUCGAGUGCGGAUUAGAGUGGCGGGCCAAAGCGGACGCUGAGGUCGAUUUGCGCCAAUCAAUAGCAUCAACGCUGUCACACUCGACGAGAGCCCUGUGUGUGGUGGAGAUCCAUAGUUAAGAACCAUUGUCAUAUCUAACGCCACAUAAAAAAAUAAUAAUUAUAUUACCGACGA